UACAGAGGUCUCAAGCGUUGUUCGGAUUCAUUGGGCGUAAAGGGUGCGUAGGCGGCGCGGUAAGUCGGGUGUGAAAUCUUGGAGCUUAACUCCGAAGCUGCAUUCGAUACUGCCGUGCUUGAGGACUGGAGAGGAGACUGGAAUUUACGGUGUAGCGGUGAAAUGCGUAGAUAUCGUAAGGAAGACCAGUGGCGAAGGCGGGUCUCUGGACAGUUCCUGACGCUGCGGCACGAAGGCCAGGGGAGCAAACGGG
rnacentral:rRNA from 1 species